GCAAACUUGGUCAUUUAGAGGAAGUAAAAGUCGUAACAAGGUUUCCGUAGGUGAACCUGCGGAAGGAUCAUUAAUGAAAACUUUUUGCUUGAAGGGCUCAGUUGCUGCCAAACUAUGUAGGGCAAAAGUGCACGCCUGGAUUGCAAAGUUGUUAUCCACACAACUCACUUGUGCACAACUGUAGCGGCCAGCCCCGCUACGUUUGUUUUGUUUAAAUAAAACAUGUAUUUAAGAAAGAGACUUUUGGGGAUCAGACAAAUGUCAUAACAACUUUCAGCAACGGAUCUCUUGGCUCUCGCAUCGAUGAAGAACGCAGC
rnacentral:misc_RNA from 1 species